CCUACGGGAGGCAGCAGUCGAGAAUCAUUCACAAUGGGGGAAACCCUGAUGGUGCGACGCCGCGUGGGGGAAUGAAGGUCUUCGGAUUGUAAACCCCUGUCAUGUGGGAGCAAAUUAAAAAGAUAGUACCGCAAGCGGAAGAGACGGCUAACUCUGUGCCAGCAGCCGCGGUAAUACAGAGGUCGCAAGCGUUGUUCGGAAUCACUGGGCGUAAAGCGUGCGUAGGCUGUUAAGUAAGUCAUGUGUGAAAGGCGGGGGCUCAACCCGCGAACUGCAAAUGAUACUGAGAGACUAGAGUAAUGGAGGGGAAACUGGAAUUCUCGGUGUAGCAGUGAAAUGCGUAGAUAUCGAGAGGAACACUAGUGGCGAAGGCGGGUUUCUGGACAUUAACUGACGCUGAGGCACGAAGGUCAGGGGAGCGAAAGGGAUUAGAUACCCGGGUAGUC
rnacentral:rRNA from 1 species